rnacentral:rRNA from 1 species
GAUGAACGCUGGCGGCGUGCCUAAUACAUGCAAGUCGAGCGAACAGAUGAGGAGCUUGCUCCUCUGACGUUAGCGGCGGACGGGUGAGUAACACGUGGAUAACCUACCUAUAAGACUGGGAUAACUUCGGGAAACCGGAGCUAAUACCGGAUAAUAUAUUGAACCGCAUGGUUCAAUAGUGAAAGACUGUUUUGCUGUCACUUAUAGAUUGAUCCGCGCCGCAUUAGCUAGUUGGUAAGGUAACGGCUUACCAAGGCAACGAUGCGUAGCCGACAUGAGAGGGUGAUCGGCCACACUGGAACUGAGACACGGUCCAGACUCCUACGGGAGGCAGCAGUCGGGAAUCUUCCGCAAUGGGCGAAAGCCUGACGUAGCAAAGCCGCGUGAGUGAUGAAGGUCUUCGGAUCGUAAAACUCUGUUAUUAGGGAAGAACAAAUGUGUAAGUAACUAUGAACGUCUUGACGGUACCUAAUCAGAAAGCCCCGGCUAACUACGUG